rnacentral:rRNA from 1 species
UACGUAGGGGGCGAGCGUUGUCCGGAUUUAUUGGGCGUAAAGAGCUCGUAGGCGGUUCGAUAAGUCGGACGUGAAAUCUCCACGCUCAACGUGGAGGGGCCGUUCGAUACUGUCGUGACUCGAGUCCGGUAGGGGAGUGUGGAAUUCCCGGUGUAGCGGUGAAAUGCGCAGAGAUCGGGAGGAACACCCGUAGCGAAGGCGGCACUCUGGGCCGGUACUGACGCUGAGGCAUGAAAGCGUGGGGAGCAAACAGG